ACUGCAACAUCUCCACAGCAAAAGCCCACAGCAUAACAUUUCCACACUAUACUUACACCACUAAAAUACCCAAUUCCAAAGCCCACCAACACAUUACAACAUAUACGGCAAUAUACUCAUCCACACCAGCGUACACCCUUGCGUCUUCUUCUCCAACAGACACACGAACCAGACGAACCCCAAAACUACCAGAAUGACGUGGUGUCCCUCCUAUCUCCUUUAUUCGUACAAUGCAGUCACGCGAUGAGCACUGGAUUUGUAUCAAGAAUCUUCUAGAAUCCACCUGGUGGUUCUAUCUCAUGUAUCCAUCGUCCUUCGUUUAAAAUCAGACGGCUAUAAUUCUUAAUUCUUUGGGAAUUAGUACGACUCUAGCCAGCUCAUCCCUUAUCCUCUUAAGAUAUUUGAAUUUUGAAUUUCCUCUACUCAUCAAUUCCCUCAGAUACCCCCUCCCCCCCAAUUUGAAUUCCAAAUAUCUCCUAUAUAUACCCCGUCGUCUUCACUGUUUUAAGGGGGAUGGAUUAGAAGAAGAUUGAUAUAAGAAAAAGAGAAUUAAAAGCUUAAGCUUUUUAGUUUCUUCUCGAAUUCUAAGUUCUUCCUUACUGGAUUCAGCUCAUAGGUGGUGGAAUUGCUUCGAAGUCGUAGUCCAAGUUUGCUGCCCAGAAAGAGGAGAGUCCAAUUUGGACUCAUCUCUUCAUUCUCUUGCAUUUCGAGUUGGUUGAACCGACCAACACUUUCUAGUCUGCGUCGUCAUUGAUCAAAAGGGCUGGAAGCUGAUAUCUGGGUUUUGGAAAGCAUAAUUUACAGGUGUUGGAAGCCAAAAAUCAAUUGUAUACACUCAGUAUACAAACUGAUAUACAGGAGAUACAAGGGAAAAACGUGAAAUAUACAUUGAUAUAAAUUAGUGAUAUAUGGUAAAUUUUGGCUAAAAGUCCAAAAUACAGGUGGUCCAACAACUUAGUCCAGACAUACAGAAACUAAGUGUUGGGCAAAAUUUUCUGAUUUGUUUAUAUAUAUUUUUUAUUCGGGUUGUAAUAAUUUAUUUUUUAAUGUUUGUUUAGAUGUAA